AAGUUUCAUUUUAAUCCAACAUCGARGUCGCAAUCCCUUUUUUCGAUUUGAACUCUCUAAAAAAAUUACGCUGUUAUCCCUAARGUAAUUUACUCUUAUAAUCUAAAUUUUARGAUCAAUUACUCAUAAAUCAAUGUUAAAAUAAAAAAAAAGUUUAUUUAGUUUUUCAAUCGCCCCAACCAAAUUAAUCAUUAUAUAAAAAUCUAUUAAUCCAAAAAACCCCCAUAUAACUUUCAAUAAAACUCUAUAGGGUCUUCUCGUCUUUUAUUAUAAUUUAAGCUUUUUAACUUAAAAAUAAAAUUCUAAUAAAUUUAAAUAGAGACAGUCAUUUUCCCAUCCAACCUUUCAUACCAGCUUCCAAUUAARAAACUAAUGAUUAUGCUACCUUUGCACGGUCAGUAUACCGCGGCCAUUUAAUAUAUCUCAUUGGGCAGGCGAGACCUUAAAUUAUAAUCAAAAA
rnacentral:rRNA from 1 species